rnacentral:rRNA from 1 species
GUCUCUUUGAGAAUUAUUAAUAGAGAGUUGGGCCUGCUCGGUGAGAAGAAAAUUUAACAGCUGCGGUAUUAUAACUGUACUAAGGUAGCAUAAUAAUUUGCCUUAUAAAUUAAGGCUAGAAUGAAUGGUUUGACGAAAAUUAAGCUGUCUUUAUUUUAUUUAUUAGAAAUUAAUUUUUAUAGUGAAAAAGCUUGAAUGAUUUAAAGGGACGAAGAAGACCCUAUUGAGCUUAAUUAUUAAUUAUUAAAUAUAAAUUAAAGUUUUAAAGUUAUUUUAAAUGUAUUUAAUUAAAUUAGUUUUGGUUGGGUGAUCAAGGAAUAAGAAAAUUAUAAUAACUUCCUUAAAAUUUUAUUUUUUAGAAUAAUAAACCAAGUUUUUUGCUUAUAAGAUAAGUUACNAUAGGGGUAACAGCGUAAUUUUUUUUGAGAGUUCAUAUUGAAAAAAGAGAUUGCGACCUCGAUGUUGGAUUAAAAAUUACCUUAAGGUGUAGAGGCUUUAUUAGGUGAAUCUGUUCGAUUUUUAAAAUUUUAC